rnacentral:miRNA from 1 species
UGUCUCAGAAAACAACCAAGGA